rnacentral:rRNA from 1 species
CCGGCGCGGGGUCCCGGCGGGCCGCGGAAGCCUCAUGGCUCCGCUGGUCUCGUCGGGGGCUCUCGCGUCGGCCCUGCACUUCCGCGAGGAGCCGGCCAACGGCGGUUGCCUUCGGCUCGGCGGGCGUCUUGGGGAGGUGGCUCCGCGCUUGCGCGGAGACCGUACAGCCCAGGCGCGCGGCAGUUCGGGGGCGACCGAGGAGAGCGCUUGCGGUCCUUCGCACGCUGCGGCGCGGGCCGACUCCGGUCGGCUGCGGCCCCGCGUCGGGGCGGCUCCCGCUCGGGUGCACUGCGUGCAGUGCCCUGGGACGGCUGAGCUUUCCCGGUCGUGGAGGCACGACAACUCGCGCCGAGGUCGUUGGCGUCCGAAUGGCUGCAUCCGACCCGUCUUGAAACACGGACCAAGGAGUGCAACAUGCGCGCGAGUCUUUGGGUGGCAAACCCCUCGGCGCAGUGAAAGCGUAAGCGGGCUCGUCCCGCCGUGGCGAGAGCCUCGGACCUCCGGGUCGGGGGCGCAUCGUCGACCGAUCCCGUUCCACGCCGYG